AACAUCGCGCACCUGCGGGAACCUGCGGAAGGAUCAUUACUGAGUCUAACAAACUCCCAAACCCCUGUGAACAUACCUACUGUUGCUUCGGCGGGACCGCCCCGGGCGCCUUCGCGGUGCCCCGGAACCAGGCGCCCGCCGGGGACAUCAAACUCUUGAUUGUUAUAGUGGCAUUCUCUGAGUAAAACAUACAAAUAAGUCAAAACUUUCAACAACGGAUCUCAGAUCGGAAGAGCACAC
rnacentral:misc_RNA from 1 species